rnacentral:rRNA from 1 species
CGCGUAGGCGGCUCCAAAAGUCAGGGGUGAAAUCCGGCAGCUUAACUGUCGCAGUGCCUUUGAUACUGUGGAGCUAGAGGGAGGUAGGGGUCUGUGGAACUUCCGGUGGAGCGGUGAAAUGCGUUGAUAUCGGAAGGAACGCCGGUGGCGAAAGCGACGGACUGGAUCUCUUCUGACGCUGAGGCGCGAAAGCCAGGGAGCAAACG